rnacentral:rRNA from 1 species
AACGAACGCUGGCGGCAUGCCUAACACAUGCAAGUCGAACGAGACCUUCGGGUCUAGUGGCGCACGGGUGCGUAACGCGUGGGAACCUGCCCUUAGGUUCGGAAUAACUCCCCGAAAGGGGUGCUAAUACCGGAUAAUGUCUUCGGACCAAAGAUUUAUCGCCUUUGGAUGGGCCCGCGUUGGAUUAGCUAGUUGGUAGGGUAAAAGCCUACCAAGGCGACGAUCCAUAGCUGGUCUGAGAGGAUGAUCAGCCACACUGGGACUGAGACACGGCCCAGACUCCUACGGGAGGCAGCAGUUGGGAAUAUUGGACAAUGGGCGGAAGCCUGAUCCAGCAAUGCCGCGUGAAUGAUGAAGGCCUUAGGGUUGUAAAGCUCUUUUACCCGGGAUGAUAAUGACAGUACCGGGAGAAUAAGCUCCGGCUAACUCCGUU